CUUGGUCAUUUAGAGGAAGUAAAAGUCGUAACAAGGUCUCCGUUGGUGAACCAGCGGAGGGAUCAUUACCGAGUUACAAGCUCAAAACCCGCAUGUGGACAAGUACCGCUAUAGUUGCCUCGGCGAGCGACCCCAGGGCGGGGUCCGCGGCCAAUAAAGGCGCCCGCCGGUGGAAUACAAACUCAGUACCGUCAGCAGCUCUCUGAGAGGCGUUAAAAACGUAAAAACUUUCAACAACGGAUCUCUUGGUUCCGGCAUCGAUGAAGAACGCAGCGAAAUGCGAUAAGUAGUGUGAAUUGCAGAAUUCAGCGAACCAUCGAAUCUUUGAACGCACAUUGCGCCCGCCGGUAAUCCGGCGGGCAUGCCUGUUCGAGCGUCGUUUCACCGCCCAGGCCAGGCCUGGUGUUGGGUUCCUAGGGCGACCUAGGCCCCGGACUUUAAGUGGCGGCUCGCCCAGCUCCGAGCGAAGUAGUAAAAACCCCCGCUCAGGACGCCCCGGGCGCGGCCGGCCGUUAAACAACCCCUUAAUUUAACAGGUCGACCUCGGAUCAGGCAGGAAUACCCGCUGAACUUAAGCAUAUCAAUAAGCGGAGGAAAAGAAACCAACAGGGAUUGCCCCAGUAACGGCGAGUGAAGCGGCAACAGCUCAAAUUUGGAAUCUGGCCCUCCUGGGGGCCCGAGUUGUAACCUGAAGAGGAUGCCUCGGGCGAGGCGCCGACCGAGUCCCCUGGAACGGGGCGCCAUAGAGGGUGAGAGCCCCGUAUGGUCGGAGCGCCGAGCCCGUGCGAGGCUCCCUCAACGAGUCGAGUAGUUUGGGAAUGCUGCUCAAAACGGGAGGUAAAUCUCUCCUAAAGCUAAAUACAGGCCGGAGACCGAUAGCGCACAAGUAGAGUGAUCGAAAGAUGAAAAGCACUUUGGAAAGAGGGUUAAACAGCACGUGAAAUUGUUGAAGGGGAAGCGCCUGUGACCAGACCCGCGCCCGGCGGAUCACCCGGCGCCUAGCGCCGGUGCACUCCACCGGGCCCGUGCCAGCGUCGGUUCCGGCGGGGGGAUAAAGGCUUUAGGGACGUAGCUCCCCCGGGAGUGUUAUAACCUGCUGCGCAAUACCCCCGCGGGGACCGAGGUUAGCGUUUCCGCAAGGACGCUGGCCUAAUGGUUACCGGCGGCCCGUCUUGAAACACGGACC
rnacentral:rRNA from 1 species